rnacentral:rRNA from 1 species
AUUGAACGCUGGCGGCAUGCCUUACACAUGCAAGUCGAACGGUAACAGGUCUUCGGAUGCUGACGAGUGGCGAACGGGUGAGUAAUACAUCGGAACGUGCCCGAGAGUGGGGGAUAACGAAGCGAAAGCUUUGCUAAUACCGCAUACGAUCUCAGGAUGAAAGCAGGGGACCGCAAGGCCUUGCGCUCACGGAGCGGCCGAUGGCAGAUUAGGUAGUUGGUGGGAUAAAAGCUUACCAAGCCGACGAUCUGUAGCUGGUCUGAGAGGACGACCAGCCACACUGGGACUGAGACACGGCCCAGACUCCUACGGGAGGCAGCAGUGGGGAAUUUUGGACAAUGGGCGCAAGCCUGAUCCAGCCAUGCCGCGUGCAGGAUGAAGG